CCUACGGGAGGCAGCAGUGGGGAAUAUUGGACAAUGGGCGAAAGCCUGAUCCAGCAAUGCCGCGUGAGUGAUGAAGGCCUUCGGGUCGUAAAGCUCUUUUACCAGGGAUGAUAAUGACAGUACCUGGAGAAUAAGCUCCGGCUAACUCCGUGCCAGCAGCCGCGGUAAUACGGAGGGAGCUAGCGUUGUUCGGAAUUACUGGGCGUAAAGAGUACGUAGGCGGUUAUUCAAGUCAGAGGUGAAAGCCCGGGGCUCAACCCCGGAACUGCCUUUGAAACUAGAUAACUAGAGUCUUGGAGAGGUUAGUGGAAUUCCGAGUGUAGAGGUGAAAUUCGUAGAUAUUCGGAAGAACACCAGUGGCGAAGGCGACUAACUGGACAAGUACUGACGCUGAGGUACGAAAGCGUGGGGAGCAAACAGGAUUAGAUACCCUGGUAGUCCACGCCGUAAACGAUGAUAACUAGUUGUUCGGUCACUUGGUGACUGAGUGACGCAGCUAACGCAUUAAGUUAUCCGCCUGGGGAGUACGGUCGCAAGAUUAAACUCAAAGGAAUUGACGG
rnacentral:rRNA from 1 species